GUACUACUGAAGAGUCCCAAACUAGGAUGAAACGGCUGUCCUGUAA
rnacentral:hammerhead_ribozyme from 1 species